CUGCCAGUAGUCAUACGCUCGUCUCAAAGAUUAAGCCAUGCAUGUGUAAGUAUAAAUAGUUAACUUUAAAACUGCGAAUGGCUCAUUAUAUCAGUUAUAGUUUAUUUGAUUCAAUUUAACUAUUUGGAUAACCGUAGUAAUUCUAGAGCUAAUACAUGAGAAAAGUCUUAACUUGUMYUUGUACAAGAAAAGAUGUAUUUAUUAGAAUGAAAACCAAGGAUAUAGAGYAAUCUAUAUGUAUUGUGAGUAAUAAUAACUUAUCAUAUCGCAUGCUUUUAGUAGCGAUAUAUCUUUCAAGUUUCUGCCCUAUCAGCUUUCGAUGGUAGUGUAUUGGACUACCAUGGCAGUAACGGGUAACGAAGAAUUUGGGUUCGAUUUCGGAGAGGGAGCCUGAGAGAUGGCUACCACAUCCAAGGAAGGCAGCAGGCGCGUAAAUUACCCAAUCCUAAUACAGGGAGGUAGUGACAAUAAAUAACAAUGCGGAACUUUUAGUUUUGCAAUUGGAUUGAGAACAAUGUACAAAACUUAUCGAUAAACAAUUGGAGGGCAAGUCUGGUGCCAGCAGCCGCGGUAAUUCCAGCUCCAAUAGCGUAUAUUAACGUUGUUGCAGUU
rnacentral:rRNA from 1 species